UACGGGGGGGGCAAGCGUUGUUCGGAAUUACUGGGCGUAAAGGGCUCGUAGGCGGCCAACUAAGUCAGACGUGAAAUCCCUCGGCUUAACCGGGGAACUGCGUCCGAUACUGGAUGGCUUGAAUUCGGGAGAGGGAUGCAGAAUUCCAGGUGUAGCGGUGAAAUGCGUAGAUAUCUGGAGGAAUACCGGUGGCGAAGGCGGCAUCCUGGACCGACAUUGACGCUGAUGAGCGAAAGCUAGGGGAGCAAACGGG
rnacentral:rRNA from 1 species